AUUGAACGCUGGCGGCAUGCCUUACACAUGCAAGUCGAACGGCAGCGGACCUUCGGGUGCCGGCGAGUGGCGAACGGGUGAGUAAAGUAUCGGAACGUACCUUUCAGUGGGGGAUAACGUAGCGAAAGUUACGCUAAUACCGCAUAUUCUCUGAGGAGGAAAGCAGGGGACCUUCGGGCCUUGCGCUGAUGGAGCGGCCGAUAUCAGAUUAGCUAGUUGGUGGGGUAAAGGCCUACCAAGGCGACGAUCUGUAGCGGUCUGAGAGGAUGAUCCGCCACACUGGGACGUGAGACACGGCCCGACG
rnacentral:rRNA from 1 species